rnacentral:rRNA from 1 species
UUGACCUCGGAUCAGGUAGGGAUACCCGCUGAACUUAAGCAUAUCAAUAAGCGGAGGAAGGG